GUUUUCAGCCGGAUGGUCGCCCCGCCCUUUUGAUUAACCAUAAGUGUUGAAUCUAAAUUCAAAAGAUUUCAAAGCGUCUUUUUGAACUUUUGUUAUCUACACUUGAUUAAUCAAAAGGGCGGGGAGGAAAGUCCGAACACCUUAUCUUGAUAUGUUGAAAUUUCAAAAUAUCAAGUUAAAGAGAUAAUGGCUAACGGCCACCUCCCGCCCUUUUGGCAACGAAUAAAUUUUUACUCCUUGCCAAAAGGGCGGGACGGGACAGUGUCACAGAGACAAUACUGCCGAUCGUCACUACAAAAACCCUAAAGGUUUUUAAUGUGGAGGAGGCAACAGGUGAAAAGAGUGGGGUAAGAGCCCACAGCGCAUAUUGGCGACAAUAUGCGGGGAAAAACACCUAUCCGGUGCAAUCUGCUCGAUAUAUCCAAAUUUCGAAAUAUCGAGUCGGAGCUUGAGCCCGUGAGUAAUUGCGGGCCUAGACAGAUGACCAUCCCCAGCGCCUUUUUGUACAUACAAAAAGGCGCUGGGACAGAAUUCGGCUUACAGGCUGGGAACAUAA
rnacentral:RNase_P_RNA from 1 species